rnacentral:rRNA from 1 species
AUUGAACGCUGGCGGCAGGCCUAACACAUGCAAGUCGAGCGGAUGACGGGAGCUUGCUCCUUGAUUCAGCGGCGGACGGGUGAGUAAUACCUAGGAAUCUGCCUGGUAGUGGGGGACAACGUUUCGAAAGGAACGCUAAUACCGCAUACGUCCUACGGGAGAAAGCAGGGGACCUUCGGGCCUUGCGCUAUCAGAUGAGCCUAGGUCGGAUUAGCUAGUAGGUGAGGUAAUGGCUCACCUAGGCGACGAUCCGUAACUGGUCUGAGAGGAUGAUCAGUCACACUGGAACUGAGAAACGGUCCAGACUCCUACGGGAGGCAGCAGUGGGGAAUAUUGGACAAUGGGCGAAAGCCUGAUCCAGCCAUGCCGCGUGUGUGAAGAAGGUCUUCGGAUUGUAAAGCACUUUAAGUUGGGAGGAAGGGCAGUAAGCUAAUACCUUGCUGUUUUGACGUUACCGACAGAAUAAGCACCGGCUAACUCUGUGCCAGCCGCCGCCGUAAAAC